rnacentral:lncRNA from 1 species
AUUUCAAACCCCGAUCGAAUCAGGAUCAAAUUUCUCUUGUAAUCAGGAUUGAUCAUAUCAAACCUAAUCUGAGUCGAACUGGAUCUAAUUCAAUUAGACUUGAUCCAAAGCUCUUUACUCAAUCAAAUUGAGUCAAUUACUAAUUAAUUCUCUAUUGAUAGUAGAUUCUCAGUCCCAGUGGGACUCUCGUCUAGAGUCUCAGUCCU